rnacentral:lncRNA from 1 species
CUGGUUCCAAUAUAUUCUUGUGCAAAUCAAUAUCUGAAUCUGCUGCACCACAGGAAUAAAAUCUGAAGCAUAUCAAAUUGAUUUUCUUUUUAAUCCAUAAUUGCUGAAAUCUGAUUUAAGUGAUUUUCUUUUACAAUUGGUGAUUUCUAAAAUCUGAUUUAAGCUCUAUAAAAACCUAGCUCAAAUCAGUUCUUUCUCACACUUUCUCAUUUGUGCUAUAAGCUGUCCAGAUUCACACUUGC